GGAUGGACCUAUGGCGCAUUAGCUAGUUGGCGGGGCAACGGCCCACCAAGGCAACGAUGCGUAGCCGGCCUGAGAGGGCGGACGGCCACAUUGGGACUGAGACACGGCCCAGACUCCUACGGGAGGCAGCAGUAGGGAAUUUUCGGCAAUGGGGGAAACCCUGACCGAGCAACGCCGCGUGAGCGAAGAAGGCCUUCGGGUCGUAAAGCUCUGUUGUAAAGGAAGAACGUCGCAUGCAGGAAAUGGUGUGCGAGUGACGGUACUUUACCAGAAAGCCACGGCUAACUACGUGCCAGCAGCCGCGGUAAUACGUAGGUGGCGAGCGUUAUCCGGAAUCAUUGGGCGUAAAGAGGGAGCAGGCGGCCGCAAGGGUCUGUGGUGAAAGACCGAAGCUAAACUUCGGUAAGCCAUGGAAACCGGGCGGCUAGAGUGCGGAAGAGGAUCGUGGAAUUCCAUGUGUAGCGGUGAAAUGCGUAGAUAUAUGGAGGAACACCAGUGGCGAAGGCGACGGUCUGGGCCGCAACUGACGCUCAUUCCCGAAAGCGUGGGGAGCAAAUAGGAUUAGAUACCCUAGUAGUCCACGCCGUAAACGAUG
rnacentral:rRNA from 1 species